CAGAGUGAAAUAGGGAAAAAAGCAGGGUAAGAAGUAAGAACGGGAAAAAGUUCCAACAAAGGGAGGGCGGAGUGCGAUGAAUAAAGGAAAUUAUGGGAUGGUACCAAGAAAUAAAUCGAGGAAGUUGCGUUAUGAGUACCAGCUGGAAUGUCUCAUGUACAUUUUACAGUGUAAGAUGUAUCUUAAUAGCAAUAGAGAACGUCCAAGCGGUAAUGACUAAUGUAAAUACAAGAUAAAACACUCCGAAAAGUAAUGUCUUGUAAAUUCAAGAUACGGUAUGACCUACAGAAUCUGGUUGAGACAACAAAAUUCAAGGCGGUAUUUCGAAAUACAGUCGAAAAUUACCACAUAGAGGGCUCCCGUGGGGAGGGGGGUGGGGGGGGGGAAGGCGUGUUCCCGUAUUCCCUCCCGUAUAUUUUUUGUUUGUUCCACUUGUUCCCCACAGAUUCAUCAUGUUCCCUUGUUCCACCAGCUCACAUGUGAUCCCUACCGUAGUUACUAAAACAUGGAACGACCCACAACGAUCCACAACGACCCACUACGAUCCCACAACGACCCCGCAACGCGUAGUUACUAAAACAUGGAACGAUCCACAACGACCCACUACUAACUUGUGAACUUGUGGAUCGUUGUGGCUGGUUUUUUGGUCGUCGUGGCUCGUUGUGGGGUCGUUGUGGAGUCGUUGUGGAGUCGUUGUGGGUCGUUGUGGGUCGUUCCAUGUUUUAGUAACUCCCUAUACAGUUCAUUGGCUUUGUUCCCAUUGCAAGUAAUAUGCUUUGUUCCCCUGCCC